rnacentral:rRNA from 1 species
UACAAUGGUCGGUACAGAGGGUUGCCAACCCGCGACGGGGGAGCUAAUCCCACAAAGCCGAUCGUAGUCCGGAUCGCAGUCUGCAACUCGACUGCGUGAAGUCGGAAUCGCUAGUAAUCGUGGAUCAGCAUGUCACGGUGAAUACGUUCCCGGGCCUU